rnacentral:rRNA from 1 species
UACGUAGGGUGCGAGCGUUGUCCGGAAUUAUUGGGCGUAAAAGAGCUCGUAGGCGGUGUGUCACGUCGGCCGUGAAAACCUGCAGCUUAACUGUGGGCGUGCGGUCGAUACGGGCAUCACUGGAGUUCGGCAGGGGAGACUGGAAUUCUGGUGUAGCGGUGAAAUGCGCAGAUAUCAGGAGGAACACCGGUGGCGAAGGCGGGGU